UCCGUAGGCGGUUCAAUAAGUCAGUGGUGAAAGCCCAUCGCUCAACGGUGGAACGGCCAUUGAUACUGUUAGACUUGAAUUAUUAGGAAGUAACUAGAAUAUGUAGUGUAGCGGUGAAAUGCUUAGAGAUUACAUGGAAUACCAAUUGCGAAGGCAGGUUACUACUAAUGGAUUGACGCUGAUGGACGAAGCGUGGGUAGCGAACA
rnacentral:rRNA from 1 species